GAGAGAAAGAGGCGCCCGGCUCAGGCCUGGACGUAUAGGUUGGAGGGGAGUGAAAAGUGGUGCUGGCUCAUGGAUUCUUCAAGCAACACACUAUAGCUGUUUUGUACAAAGCGUAAAGGUAAAAAAACAAAAUAAGCACUGUUAUCUUCAUUUUAAAUGUCAAAAAGUA